rnacentral:rRNA from 1 species
UGAGUAACGCGUGAGGAACCUGCCUUCCAGAGGGGGACAACAGUUGGAAACGACUGCUAAUACCGCAUGAUACGUUGGAGCCGCAUGACUCCGACGUCAAAGAUUUAUCGCUGGAAGAUGGCCUCGCGUCUGAUUAGCUAGUUGGUGAGGUAACGGCCCACCAAGGCGACGAUCAGUAGCCGGACUGAGAGGUUGGCCGGCCACAUUGGGACUGAGAUACGGCCCAGACUCCUACGGAAGGCAGCAG